rnacentral:rRNA from 1 species
AGGGGAGCCGGAGGGAAACCGAGUCUUAAUUGGGCGUUAAGUUGCAGGGUAUAGACCCGAAACCCGGUGAUCUAGCCAUGGGCAGGUUGAAGGUUGGGUAACACUAACUGGAGGACCGAACCGACUAAUGUUGAAAAAUUAGCGGAUGACCUGUGGCUGGGGGUGAAAGGCCAAUCAAACCGGGAGAUAGCUGGUUCUCCCCGAAAGCUAUUUAGGUAGCGCCUCGUGAAUUCAUCUCCGGGGGUAGAGCACUGUUUCGGCUAGGGGGCCAUCCCGGCUUACCAACCCGAUGCAAACUGCGAAUACCGGAGAAUGUUAUCACGGGAGACACACGGCGGGUGCUAACGUCCGUCGUGAAGAGGGAAACAACCCAGACCGCCAGCUAAGGUCCCAAAGUCAUGGUUAAGUGGGAAACGAUGUGGGAAGGCCCAGACAGCCAGGAUGUUGGCUUAGAAGCAGCCAUCAUUUAAAGAAAGCGUAAUAGCUCACUGGUCGAGUCGGCCUGCGCGGAAGAUGUAACGGGGCUAAACCAUGCACCGAAGCUGCGGCAGCGAACGUAUCACUUAAAGCGAUUCAGCGGGUUACGAUUGACGGAGCGAAGCGACGUCAAAGCGUAUACAAAGUCGAGUCGGUUUAAGGAUACGUUCGUUGGGUAGGGGAGCGUUC